GGGAUACACUUGAUCUCUGAAUUUUACAGGUAAGUUCUUGUUGAAAACUAUUGGUUUGCUGAUGCU
rfam:Arabis alpina cultivar Pajares chromosome 1, whole genome shotgun sequence.